rnacentral:rRNA from 1 species
UACGAAGGGGGCUAGCGUUGCUCGGAAUCACUGGGCGUAAAGCGCACGUAGGCGGCUUACUAAGUCAGGGGUGAAAUCCUGGAGCUCAACUCCAGAACUGCCUUUGAUACUGGGUAGCUAGAGUCUGGUAGGGGAUCUGGAAUUCCUGGUGUAGCGGUGGAAUGCGCAGAUAUCAGGAGGAACACCGGUGGCGAAGGCGGUUCUCUGGGCAUGUCCUGACGCUGAGGAGCGAAAGUGUGGGGAGCGAACAGG